rnacentral:lncRNA from 1 species
GCCUACAAGAAUCAGUCUGGCUGCUCUGUAAAGAGUAAAGCUCCAGCCUGGCCCAUAUGGUGAAACCCUGUCCCUACUAAAAAUACAAAAAUUAGGCAGGCGUGGUGGCACGCACCUGUAGUCCCAGCUACUCAGGAGGCUGAGGCAGAAGAAUCGCUUGAACUCAGGAGGCAGAGGUUGCAGUGAGCUGAGAUCAUGCCACUGCACUGCAGCCUGGGUGACAGAGCAAGACUCCGUCUCAAAAAAAUAAAGAACCUGUGAGGGUGAAUGCUGAAACAGAAAAAAAAAAAAAAAAGAAUUACUUUAUUAAAACCUCCUUGAGUUACUGGGAGGCAGCGUGGCCCUGCUUUG